CAGUUAAGCAGUGUGUCUGCUUACUUGCUGUUAUAUAACUUUAGACUAAAGGACAAUGCUUGACAGAGUCAGUAUUUAAAAAUCUGUCCAAGGUGCCUUUGUUUGGUGUUCUCCGACUAGUGUUUGAGCAGUAUAUGCACAAGCAGGUUUGAUGACAUGUCUUUAAUGUCUUUGCAAAUUUAAUUUUCAUUGUGGAAACCUACAUCCCUUCAAUUUCUGGGCCAAUUAUCCUAGAAAAAGUUAACGCUAGGGUUCUUCUCACAGCUGCCAAAACUUGAAUUGGAGAUGCUAGAGAGGAAGAUGUAGAAAAUGGACAAAACAUUGUCCUGUUUCGAUAAGGAUGAACGAGAGCUUACCCUUGCCUCUCUACAUCCACAGCAGCUUGGUGAUUCUGGACCCAGUCUGAAAAUGUAGAAGCUGAGCUGAGACUGAUUUCCAUUGAGCAGUUCUUAAAGUGUGACAUAUGAAGCAGCAGCACUUUAGAUGAUUUUAGGGUGUGUGGACAAACUUUGUUAUCAUGUCAAUUAUAGAUAUAUUUAAUGACCAUAGAAAA
rnacentral:lncRNA from 1 species